rnacentral:lncRNA from 1 species
UUUUGGUCAAAUAUGAGUGGAAUAUUUAAUUGCUGUAGCAUUGGUCUGCUCUUAGGUCAUGGCUGCGUAAGAACAGUUUCGGUGGCGAGAUCUGAGGCCUUUUGGUCACGAGGCUGAGAGGAGCGGGCUGCAGUAGUGACUGCUGCAUGGCAGAACCUCCCUUCUCUUUGGGGUCGGUCCCGCUCCGUGGGGUCCCUCAUGCUUCGUUUCCACGUGUGAAGAGACACACUGCGAUGCAGGGCACGGCGUGAGCCCGUCUGGACGCCGUUAACAGGGCCAAGGCGAGAGGCCAGGCAGGGCACGGGGCACCCGACAUUUUGGGAGCCCCGAGGGCCGCAGCCCCUCGAUCCCUUCAACAAGUGACAAGAUGGAGAAGUGUGGCUGUUCCGACCCCGCCCGGCGGGGCCCAGUCGGACGCCCCCGGCCCAACGGGGCGGGGCUGCAGGGCGGAGCGGCCCGCCCAGGGGCCGAGGUGAACGGCUCUCCACGGCCCGGCCGCACCUGGCGGCGCCUGCCCCGCCCCACCUGCCGGGACCGCCCGCGGCGCCCUCCAUUGCGCAGCCGACCGCCGGGGCCGGCGUCCCUCCGCGCCUCCCCCUCCCACAAUCCCUCCUCCGCUCGCCCCUCGCCUGUCCCCGUCUGAACCGGGGGGAGCCCGCCCCGCUCGGCGUCCCUCAGGCUCCGCCGCUUCCCCUCCCCCCGCGAGGCCGCCGCCCCUCCGCGUUGCCCGCCCGAGCCCCGCUUUCCCCCGCCUCCCGCCGCCCAGCGCGGGUCGCCGCCGCGCCCUGCCAUGAGCGCCCCGCCGCACUGAGCAGCACGCGCGGAGCCAUGCCGGGCUGGAAGAAGAACAUCCCCAUCUGCCUGCAAGCCGAGCAGGAGCGAGCCCUGUGUCAGAGGGAAUUCAGACAGCAGCUGAAACUUUAUUGCUGCAUACACAAAUGAAUACUAUCAUGCUUCAUGGACCAUGAAGUUUGGAUUGUAUCUAGUAAAUGAGCUUGUAAAUCUGGUAAUUGUGAAGAAGGAAGUUAAAGACUGAAGUGGAAAGGGAUGUGAGCAGCAAUGGGCUGCUUGAUAUUUCCCGUGUUUCACUCUUCAAGAGCUUGUGAAAUUCAGUGAAAAUGUUGUAGAAAUUCGUUUGGCUUUUGUCACCUGCUAUGAUUAUGGAAGAUUUGGUGAAAGUCAUAAUGUCAGUGAUGAAUCUGCUUUUGUGUGUUUUGGGUUUUUUUUUUUUAAUAUAAUGAUUAACGUUUUCCAUUUGACUUUGGCAUGACAGACUUUAGGGUAACUUGCAUGAGCUGUAAUCUUCACUUUGAGUUUUGCAAUGUUUGAGAAGAGUUUUAGUAACCAGGGAGGG